rnacentral:rRNA from 1 species
UACGUAGGGUGCAAGCGUUGUCCGGAAUUAUUGGGCGUAAAGAGCUCGUAGGCGGUUUGUCGCGUCUGCUGUGAAAACUCGGGGCUUAACUCCGGGCCUGCAGUGGGUACGGGCAGACUAGAGUAUGGCAGGGGAGACUGGAAUUCCUGGUGUAGCGGUGAAAUGCGCAGAUAUCAGGAGGAACACCGGUGGCGAAGGCGGGUCUCUGGGCCAAAACUGACGCUGAGGAGCGAAAGCGUGGGGAGCGAACAGG